AUUGAACGCUGGCGGCAGGCCUAACACAUGCAAGUCGAGCGAGCGGCGGACGGGUGAGUAAUGUCUGGGAAACUGCCCGAUGGAGGGGGAUAACUACUGGAAACGGUAGCUAAUACCGCAUACCAUCAGAUGUGCCCAGAUGGGUUUAGCUGGUAGGUGGGGUAACGGUUCACCUAGGCGACGCACCCUAGCCGGUCUGAGAGGAUGACCAGACACACUGGAACUGUGACACGGUCCAGACUCCUACGGGGUGCAGCGGUGGGGAAUAUUGCACAAUGGGCGAAGGCCUGAUGCAGCAAUGCCGCGUGUGUGAAGAAGGCCUUCGGGUUGUAAAGCACUUUCAGCGGGGAGGCGUUACCCGAAGAAGAAGCACCGGCUAACUCCGUGCCAGCCGCCGCGGUAAUAC
rnacentral:rRNA from 1 species